rnacentral:rRNA from 1 species
CCUACGGGAGGCAGCAGUGAGGAAUAUUGGUCAAUGGGCGCAAGCCUGAACCAGCCAAGUCGCGUGAGGGAUGACGGUCCUAUGGAUUGUAAACCUCUUUUGUCGGGGAGCAAGGCCCGCCACGUGUGGCGGGAAGGAGAGUACCCGAAGAAAAAGCAUCGGCUAACUCCGGGCCAGCAGACGCGGUAAUACGGAGGAUGCGAGGGUUAUCCGGAUUUAUUGGGUUUAAAGGGUGCGUAGGCGGAAGGUUAAGUCAGCGGUCAAAUGUCGGUGCUCAAGAGCGGCAUGCCGUUGAAACUGGUCUUGUUGAGUGAGCGAGAAGUAUGCGGGAUGCGUGGGGUAGGGGUGAAAUGGAUAG